UUAUUGGCUAUUUCGAAGACCACAAAACGUUCUUCAAAGUUGAGUGGUUCAAAAAUACAAGAAGCCAAAAGCAAUUUUUGUCACGACGGUCUCUGAUCCGCCAUUCCGCAGACGUUUCAGUAACUUUUACGUGCAAUGACAGUC
rfam:Drosophila ficusphila unplaced genomic scaffold scf7180000454048, whole genome shotgun sequence